UACUCUCAAGAUCAAGUGUAGUAUCUGUUCUUAUCAGUUUAAUAUCUGAUACGUCCCCUACCCGGGGACUACAUAUUAAAUUGAUUUUUGGAUCACGGAGCUGGAGCCGGGGCUUGCUCUGUCCACUCCACGCAUCGGCCUGGUAUUGCAGUGUCUCCAGGAACGGUGUGCUUCCC
rnacentral:snRNA from 1 species